rnacentral:rRNA from 1 species
ACGAGCCUGCGAAGGCAAGCGGAUCUCUUAAAGCCGUUCUCAGUUCGGACUGUAGGCUGCAACUCGCCUACACGAAGCUGGAAUCGCUAGUAAUCGCGGAUCAGCACGCCGCGGUGAAUACGUUCCCGGGCCUUGUACACACCGCCCGUCACACCAUGAGAGUCUGUAACACCCAAAGCCGGUGGGAUAACCUUUAUAGGAGUCAGCCGUCUAAGGUAGGACAGAUGAUUAGGGUGAAGUCGUAACAAGGUAUC